GAUGAACGCUGGCGGCGUGCCUAAUACAUGCAAGUCGAGCGAACAGACGAGGAGCUUGCUCCUCUGACGUUAGCGGCGGACGGGUGAGUAACACGUGGCUAACCUACCUAUAAGACUGGGAUAACUUCGGGAAACCGGAGCUAAUACCGGAUAAUAUAUUUAACCGCAUGGUUCUAUAGUGAAAGACGGUUUUGCUGUCACUUAUCGAUGGAUCCGCGCCGCAUUAGCUAGUUGGUAAGGUAACGGCUUACCAAGGCAACGAUGCGUAGCCGACCUGAGAGGGUGAUCGGCCACACUGGAACUGAGACACGGUCCAGACUCCUACGGGAGGCAGCAGUAGGGAAUCUUCCGCAAUGGGCGAAAGCCUGACGGAGCAACGCCGCGUGAGUGAUGAAGGUCUUCGGAUCGGAAAACUCUGUUAUUAGGGAAGAACAAAUGUGUAAGUAACUAUGCACGUCUUGACGGUACCUAAUCAGAAAGCCACGGCUAACUACGUG
rnacentral:rRNA from 1 species